rnacentral:ncRNA from 1 species
CAAAAAAUGUUGAUGGAAAAGAGUAAUUUGGCUAGAUACGUAGAAGGGAAGAUCUGUCUUAGACUGCAAACAGAUCACGUAUCGAAAAAUGAAGUUCACUUCCGGAGUUUGUUUGUUCCAAAGAGAUCAGACCGGUGAAAACCGUUAUAAGAAUUGAGUGCAUGAUUUUUUAUCAUGAAUUAGGAUGGUAACACGAUAGCUCGUUCCUUUA